GACGAACGCUGGCGGCGUGCUUAACACAUGCAAGUCGAACGGAAAGGCCCUGCUUUUGUGGGGUGCUCGAGUGGCGAACGGGUGAGUAACACGUGAGUAACCUGCCCUUGACUUUGGGAUAACUUCAGGAAACUGGGGCUAAUACCGGAUAGGAGCUCCUGCUGCAUGGUGGGGGUUGGAAAGUUUCGGCGGUUGGGGAUGGACUCGCGACUUAUCAGCUCGUUGGUGGGGUAGUGGCUUACCAAGGCUUUGACGGGUAGCCGGCCUGAGAGGGUGACCGGCCACAUUGGGACUGAGAUACGGCCCAGACUCCUACGGGAGGCAGCAGUGGGGAAUAUUGCACAAUGGGCGGAAGCCUGAUGCAGCAACGCCGCGUGCGGGAUGACGGCCUUCGGGUUGUAAACCGCUUUCGCCUGUGACGAAGCGUGAGUGACGGUAAUGGGUAAAGAAGCACCGGCUAACUACGUG
rnacentral:rRNA from 1 species